AGCGAACGCUGGCGGCAGGCCUAACACAUGCAAGUCGAACGAAGUCUUCGGACUUAGUGGCGGACGGGUGUGUAACACGUGGGAACGUACCGUUUGGUUCGGAACAACUCAGGGAAACUUGAGCUAAUACCGGAUGAGCCCUUAGAGGGAAAGAUUUAUCGCCGAAAGAGCGGCCCGCGUUAGAUUAGCUAGUUGGUGAGGUAAAGGCGCACCAAGGCUACGAUCUAUAGCUGGUCUGAGAGGAUGAUCAGCCACACUGGGACUGAGACACGGCCCAGACUCCUACGGGAGGCAGCAGUGGGGAAUCUUGCGCAAUGGGCGAAAGCCUGACGCAGCCAUGCCGCGUGAAUGAUGAAGGUCUUAGGAUUGUAAAAUUCUUUUACCAGGGACGAUAAUGACGGUACCUGGAGAAAAAGCCCCGGCUAACUUCGUGCCAGCCGCCGCCGUAAUAC
rnacentral:rRNA from 1 species